ACGGAAGGCAGCAGUGGGGAAUAUUGCACAAUGGGGGAAACCCUGAUGCAGCGACGCCGCGUGAGUGAAGAAGUAUUUCGGUAUGUAGAGCUCUAUCAGCAGGAAAGAAAAUGACGGUACCUGACUAAGAAGCCCCGGCUAACUACGUGCCAGCAGCCGCGGUAAUACGUAGGGGGCAAGCGUUAUCCGGAUUUACUGGGUGUAAAGGGAGCGUAGACGGCUUUGCAAGUCUGAAGUGAAAGCCCGGGGCUCAACCCCGGAACUGCUUUGGAAACUGUAGAGCUAGAGUGCAGGAGAGGUAAGUGGAAUUCCUAGUGUAGCGGUGAAAUGCGUAGAUAUUAGGAGGAACACCAGUGGCGAAGGCGGCUUACUGGACUGUAACUGACGUUGAGGCUCGAAGGCGUGGGGAGCAAACAGGAUUAGAUACCCUGGUA
rnacentral:rRNA from 2 species